ACAACAACAUUCGGACCGUCGGUCUACCGAGCAAUAUCACCUGCUCGGUGGAAGAUCUUCCUUUCGUCGUUUAAG
rnacentral:pre_miRNA from 1 species